rnacentral:rRNA from 1 species
GAUGAACGCUGGCGGCGUGCUUAACACAUGCAAGUCGAACGGUGAAGGCGGAGCUUGCUCUGCUGGAUCAGUGGAGAACGGGUGAGUAACACGUGAGCAAUCUGCCCCUGACUCUGGGAUAAGCGCUGGAAACGGCGUCUAAUACUGGAUACGAGCUGCGAAGGCAUCUUCAGCAGCUGGAAAGAACUUCGGUCAGGGAUGAGCUCGCGGCCUAUCAGCUUGUUGGUGAGGUAACGGCUCACCAAGGCGUCGACGGGUAGCCGGCCUGAGAGGGUGACCGGCCACACUGGGACUGAGACACGGCCCAGACUCCUACGGGAGGCAGCAGUGGGGAAUAUUGCACAAUGGGCGAAAGCCUGAUGCAGCAACGCCGCGUGAGGGACGACGGCCUUCGGGUUGUAAACCUCUUUUAGCAGGGAAGAAGCGAAAGUGACGGUACCUGCAGAAAAAGCGCCGGCUAACUACGUG